rnacentral:rRNA from 1 species
UACGAAGGGUGCAAACGUUGCUCGGAAUCAUUGGGCGUAAAGCGCACGUAGGCGGCUUCGCAAGUCGGAUGUGAAAUCCCUCGGCUCAACCAAGGAAGUGCAUCCGAAACUGCAAAGCUUGAGUACCAAAGAGGAUCGCGGAAUUCCCGGUGUAGAGGUGAAAUUCGUAGAUAUCGGGAGGAACACCAGUGGCGAAGGCGGCGAUCUGGGUGGAUACUGACGCUGAGGUGCGAAAGCGUGGGGAGCAAACAGG